AUGUACACCAAUCGAGGCACAAACCAAUAGAAAAGGAGAGGGGUGGAGUGGGUAAGAACUGUAAACACACAACAGCAAGGAAAGUUUUACACCCAUCAUCCAAUGGAUUUGAUUGAUGCCCCCAAUUAUCUCAUUUGUUUAUAACCUGUAUUUGUACAAAAUAAGCCAAAAGAAUCCAAAAUCCCCAAAAGUCAAAAUCGUUUUUCUUUUACGAGUUGCAAACAAGGUUGGGUGUUAUUGUGAAUACCCCAACCCAGCUAAGGUGCAACGGUGUUGAUUGUGUUAGUUGUACGCAUUACUAACAAACCUGGAAAUUAGCGUAGAUACAAUAAUGUUUGUUUUAGCCGUAUCGGUCUCUUAUUUUUUGUUGCAAGCAGGUGUAACCCCGAUGAAAUUCUGCGCUAUCACUUUAAAUCAUACUGCGCUGUCGCUCCUAGUAAAAUUCUGCACUGUCACUUUAAAUUUGCCGGUUCCCUUGCGCUGUGCAAAUACCGCGAGGCUAUAAGUUCAGUAGUGACGUGGCUUUCGUUCUUGGGAGACCUGUCAAAGCACUGACAGGUUGCAAGUACGAGGGAGCUGGGCUGUGUACCGCUGCUGCAGAUCGGCGUUCAUCAUCUGAAGCCGGGAUUUAAAUCUGCACAGUUGAACAAAAAGUGAACUGGCCAGGUCGCAAGACUGGUCGUCUUGCAGACCAAUUUACUGGAUGCUCAACCUGAGCACUGGACAGAAUUGUUUAUCAGGGAGUUUUACCGCUCCCAGAAGGAAAAAAGAGGAUAAAUCCUCUGCAGAUGGCGAGCUAAAAAGGAGCCCCGAUCCUGACUUGGAUCCUGCCCUCUUCACUGCCAGUGCGGUAGGAACUAACCCCCUUCUCAUCCAACAAAUCAGCUGGAGUGUUUCUUUCUUUUCGGUUUUCCAAAAGAGAACUGUAAAAACUCUUUCAUAAGGCCUAACGGACGCCUUAAGAACUAGAAAGACAAAACAACAGAAAACAUCCUCUGGACUAAAAAAAAUCCUUUGUUGUAUAUAUUGUGAUUUUUGUAUUCACUGUAUAUUGUAAAUACAUUUACAUUAGCAACUCAA